CUUUCUUGAAAUAAUAAAGCAUAAUAUGCCAAAAAAUGCAUACUUUCUUCCAUUUUUAAUAUCAAAAUGGCUACACAAAAAUUCACCAAUUUUGAUAAGCUUUUUUAAUGCACACUCAUAUGACAAUUGUCACAAUGCAGUCUAACAAAAUUGUUUUCAAUGAAGUUAAAGACAACUAAGCAGUAAGCACUGCUA